GGUCUUAUAGUCAAGUAUGAUUUUAAAUUGCAAAUUUAAAGGUGGGUUCAGCUCUAAGGCUU
rnacentral:tRNA from 1 species